CUCCUCCUCAUACUUGCAUGGGCUGGGAGAUGGGACUGCCAGGGUUUGCCUCAUGGGGCUGACUGAGCCAUAAGACAGAUUGUGCUGUAAGAAAUAAGAAAUAGGCCUAAAGAAAUGAAUUGAGGUUUCACCAGAGCACUUGUUAAGUGGGUCAUGAAUCAAACACAACAGGAUCUACUGGCCAUCCUUUUUUUUCCUGUGGUUAGAGGCUGCCAUUCAGUCCUUCAGUUACAGAUAUUAAGUGGGAAAUGAUGAGAAGAAAACAGCUGAAGAAAUGUCUGAAGUGUCUUUUUCCAAUGCAGGAUGAAACAUCCCUGCACAGCAAAGCUGGAUGAGAGAAUGCAGCAAGCACACCACAUGUAGUCACAGCUCUGAGGAACUCAUGUCCAUGUAGGAUUGGUGCUAUGUUAGCACAGGAUGAGGUGAGUUCUAGCACCUUUUCACAGGUUUUGAUGCCUGCACAGUCCUAGGUACCUUGUCAUUUGCUUCUGUGCUGG
rnacentral:lncRNA from 1 species